rnacentral:lncRNA from 1 species
AGACUAACCCUGCUUAUUCCUGUGAGCCAAUCAGUGAUCUCUGACUGCAGCUCAGAAAAAACAAGAGGGAUGGGUCAUGUGCCACCUCCUCCAGGAAGACCAACUUGAUUUCCCCAAUUUAAACCAAUUCUUAAUUUUUCUACAUUCCCAGGGUACCUAUUCACACCUUCAUUCUGGCCCAGAAGUCUAAUCCCGCUCAUUGCCUAUUUUGUAAAUAAAAUUCUAUUGGCUCAUU